UCCCUAAAUAACCACUAACCAACGCCCGCCGGUGGUCACUCACUCGCUGCGACAACCAGGAGGAAGGGAGAUGUCUGGUCGAACGGGGACUUGCAAGCCGCUUGAUUCGUUGAAAUCUGUUGGAGGGUCAUGAGUCUAAGCCGGAAGUCUUCUAUGAUGCAUUGCUCUCUUAAAAACGGUUCAUCGGCUCUCUUCGCUCUUUUUCCGGUUUCUCUUAACCAUGGCGGGUAAUCUCUCUGGUCGAGUCAGUCGGCCAGUGUCUUCCCCUGCUUGACUGGCUGCAGUUUGAACCGGAUGGUCCCUUUAAAUAAGAAUUUAAAUCUAGAACAACUCUUUCUUUGAGCGGCCCGGACAAUCCUGAAUCCUUUAAGGUUGCCAUCCCAUCGAGGCUUAAACGAGGAUGACACGGAGGUGUUGCCCAUUGAGGGGUUGUGGUGACAAGGAGUCACUAAACGAAACGCUAAACCAAAUGAAAAAAAAAAAAAUUGUAAAAGCCAACGAUCCUUUAUAUAUCCGAGCCGAAUACUUUCCGUCUACAUUCGGUGUUGAGGGCAAAACCUAAAUUUCAACAUACUUUACUGCUUAGCAACGAAAACAAAGCGAGUGUCAAAACAUUGUUUUCUUGAGCAUAAUUUAUUGUGGCAGAAACGCGUUGUUUAUGUAACAGGGAGAAUUUUGUCCUCUUUUGUUCAUGCAGCAUCAAACGACACGCGAUAGGUUCCGGUGGUCAUCAAAAAUUUAAUAUGGUAGACAUGUCAAUGUAAAAGACAGGAUUUUCAUUUCCGACCGCAGGUGCAAGGAUUAUGUGUUUGAAACUUAGGUAAGUUUGCAGUAGAAUAUUUUAAAAAACUGAUUGUCCUUCAAACGGUUCGAAAUGGAAGAUUUAUUCAUUAACCGAAGAAACGAGUCAAAUGACUCAAAUGUCAAAUGUGAUCCAUCCCCGGCAACAUCAACCUGCAGAAAGAAAAAGGCCAUUUUCUAUGGCCUUGACGCUCGAAGUUCACGGAGAUCAUUACGUAAAACGUGUCAUGCAGUGGUGUAGAGGUGGGGUGAGAACGACACGUGUUGCUUCAUUAUCAAAAAGGUCCAAUAGCCGCAAGGCUUAGGAGGUGAGGGUGAGAAAAAAAUCGGAUAAAAGGAGAGAGAAAAGGCGAUUGAAACCAGUCGAGUGAGCAUCUCCGACCCGGCAACAACUCCAUUCUUCGGGCAUUCUUCGUCGUAAUAUCAGUUCGCAAUCAUGGUUAAUUAUGGCGUUGUGUUGCUGCUGGGCGUUGUAUCGUUGAUGUCGACUGCGAGAGAAAUUUGUAUAAAAGGAAAGACUGCUGAGAAAAGGUGACAGAAGUCAAUCAAGUGAGCAUCUCCGACCCGUCAACAACUGCAUUCUUCGUCGUAUAACAGUUUGCAACUACGGUUAACUAUGACGUCGUACAGCUAUUGGUUGUUUCGUCGUUUUCUGGGUCGACCACUGGUGUGCUGAUGCCCCUGGGUAUGGAAGAUACCAAACCGCAACGCCGCCGCCUUACUGCACACCAACAUACGCAACGACCAGUUACUACAUCGAGGUUGCACAAUUAGGUUUACAGUUACACCACCAAGGGUCCAGGCUCCUAAGUACUACACCACCAAGUCACCUGAGUCUACACAACUACCUUUACUGUCCCAAGUACUACAGCAAGGCUCCAAAGUACUACAGCACUAAGGCACCGGACUACUACACAACUAUAUAUGCUGCCCCAACCUGCGACACCGAGGCUCCAGCUUAUUACCUCACCAAAGCGGUCGAACACAGUGGCGCCCAAGUACGAUGGAAAUCAGUCCAGUGAGCAUCUCCGCCACCCAACAAGGCAGCCCCGAAGUUUCGAAUAAACUUCGUUUCAAAUAGUGGAACGGCAAAGAGCGAGGUCUCUUUUUCGAACAAGACGAAUUCUAUUGCAAUCCCUUUAAGAUAGCGGCGGCGUUGCAGUCAUACGUUGACAACGCGUCGUUCAACUUGAUUGUUGGUCGGAAAGCCUAACUUCAUGAUGGCCGUACCAUCACCUACGACAAGUGCCUUAUUGCCACAGGUGGUAAACGAAAAUCUUUGCCAAUCCCUGAGCGGUGCCCCUAUAGAUGUCCACGAGCAAGUGACGCAACAUCUAUGGCCCAGUCCUCCCUAACUAUUUGAGCCAAUGGACUUUCGAGAAGGUGGAAGCGGAAGACGUUUAUGUGUUGCCCAAAGCUAAUGUUGAGGGUGUAAGUCUGGAAGACAACAAGGUCGCAUUGACCUUAAACGAUGAUCAAAAGCAAAUUUAAACUGACCAUUUUCACACCGAAGCUCCGAACUAUUGACUCUAUCCCGAGUUACUACACCACUAAGGCACCUGAAUAAUACACCACACCCUACGCUUCUCCAACUUACUACAAGGACGUUUCUUAAUACAAGAGUCGAAUUUGAAUCAUGUUCAGAUUUGUCGGUCAUCUUAAUAGUUACUAGACACUGGGAAUUGUUGAUCUUUAAUGACAAUCAUUUUUUCAAACCUGGGUAAUCAUUUUGUACGACUUUUCUUGCCACCUAAAAGCCUUUGACAUUGCGACGUUUUCUGAUUUUAUUGGAUCUUUCCUAUUUCGCAUGUUGGAGGUGACUUAUUGCUCUAGUCGCUUUGCUUUCCGACAUGUUGUAGUGUUUGGACAAACUUCAUUUAAAGGGCAAGUUACGAAAGAGAUAUUCUGUGUUGUUUAAAAAUUUGAUGUUAACAGCUCUGUUUUUAACUUCAGUAGGCGUAACAUAUGAGUUGUAGAUAGUGUAUGGUUUCUCGCAGAAGUUUAUUUGAAGGGUCUGGAGUUGAUCAGUCACUUGCCUAUAACUUAUGUAAAACUUCAAAGUUGUAAAAAAUAUACAAAUUGUAAACUAAA